GAGGAUAUAGCUCAGUGGUAGAGCAUUCGACUGCUAAUCGAAUGUUUCCGAUUUAAACUCGGGUGUCCUCU